rnacentral:rRNA from 1 species
UCACUAAGAGAUGGUCCCGCGGUGCAUUAGCUAGUUGGUAAGGUAAUGGCUUACCAAGGCAAUGAUGCAUAGCCGAGUUGAGAGACUGAUCGGCCACAAUGGGACUGAGACACGGCCCAUACUCCUACGGGAGGCAGCAGUAGGGAAUCUUCCACAAUGGGCGAAAGCCUGAUGGAGCAACGCCGCGUGUGUGAUGAAGGGUUUCGGCUCGUAAAACACUGUUGUAAGAGAAGGAUGACAUUGAGAGUAACUGUUCAAUGUGUGACGGUAUCUUACCAGAAAGGAACGACUAAAUACGUGCCAGCAGCCGCGGUAAUACGUAUGUUCCAAGCGUUAUCCGGAUUUAUUGGGCGUAAAGCGAGCGCAGACGGUUAUUUAAGUCUGAAGUGAAAGCCCUCAGCUCAACUGAGGAAUUGCUUUGGAAACUGGAUGACUUGAGUGCAGUAGAGGAAAGUGGAACUCCAUGUGUAGCGGUGAAAUGCGUAGAUAU